UGGGGUAUUGAGUAUGGGUGGAUUAUAUUUCUGGUAUAUAUCUAUUUUGGUGGGGUUUGUGGCAGUCAUGUUUUGGUAUGAAAUUGGUAUAGUGUGGGUUGAAUAUUUGUUUGGUUUAGUGUUUAGGGUAUUUUUAUCUUGAUAUACUUUGGCUAAUGACACAACUUUCACAAUUGAGAUUGAUGUAUGAAUCAUGACUUCCUUACGUAUGUCUGGUUGCAACCUACUGAUAAAACAAUCUACAAGUGCAUCAUUACUAAUUCCAUAGACUCUAUUAGCUAAUGAUGAG
rnacentral:lncRNA from 1 species